AAAGGAAUUGACGGGGGCUCACACAAGCGGUGGAGCAUGUGGCUUAAUUCGAAGCAACGCGAAGAACCUUAUCCUGGGUUUGACAUGCAUGGAUGCCCAUCCUGAAAGGGAGUAGGCUGCCUUCGGGUGAAACUUGCACAGGUGCUGCAUGGCUGUCGUCAGCUCGUGUCGUGAGAUGUCGGGUUAAGUCCCUUAACGAGCGAAACCCUUAUCGUUAGUUGCCAGCGGGUCAAGCCGGGAACUCUAACGAGACUGCCGGUGUUAAACCGGAGGAAGGUGGGGAUGACGUCAAGUCCUCAUGGCCUUUAUGCCCAGGGCUGCACACGUGCUACAAUGGCGUUUAAUAAACCGAUGCAAGACCGCGAGGUGGAGCAAAUCGGAUAAACAACGCCUCAGUUCGGAUUGUAGGCUGCAAUUCGCCUACAUGAAGUUGGAAUCGCUAGUAAUCGCGGAUCAGCUAUGCCGCGGUGAAUAUGUUCCUGAGCCUUGUACACACCGCCCGU
rnacentral:rRNA from 1 species